rnacentral:rRNA from 1 species
AGAGUUUGAUCCUGGCUCAGGACGAACGCUGGCGGCGUGCUUAACACAUGCAAGUCGAGCGGAAAGCCCUUCGGGGUACUCGAGCGGCGAACGGGUGAGUAACACGUGAGUAACCUGCCCCUAGCUCUGGGAUAGCUCCGGGAAACCGGGAUUAAUACCAGAUACGACCACUUUAGACAUCUGUCGUGGUGGAAAGGAUUCCGGCUAGGGAUGGGCUCGCGGCCUAUCAGCUUGUUGGUGGGGUAACGGCCUACCAAGGCGACGACGGGUAGCCGGCCUGAGAGGGCGACCGGCCACACUGGGACUGAGACACGGCCCAGACUCCUACGGGAGGCAGCAGUGGGGAAUAUUGCGCAAUGGGCGAAAGCCUGACGCAGCGACGCCGCGUGGGGGAUGAAGGCCUUCGGGUUGUAAACCCCUUUCAGCAGGGACGAAC